rnacentral:rRNA from 1 species
AAAUAACGUAAAACUGACAGUUCCCGAAAAUAAAAGAUCUAGAAAUAUGUUAUCAUUUUGAGAUAUUACAAAAUACUGUCGCAUUAGGUAUCUAAAAAUGUAUUUCUAGGGGUGAAAGACCUCCACUUUUAUUGAUAUCUGGACAAAUGUUAAAUAGAUUUAGUUUAAGAUAUAAUUAUAAUGUUAUAAGAUAUUGUAAGUGGAAAUUGCUAUGUGUGUACUAAGGUCAUUAACUAUUACUUAACGACACUACUUUUGUAGCAAUAUACCUACUUUUAAAAUUCCUUAGUAAUAUUUUAUUUUGAUAAAGCUAAAUUAAAAUAAGUAAUGUAUAAAUUAGUAGAUAUAAUAAAUUUAAAUGAAGGAAUUCGGCAAAUAUUUUAUACGACUGUUUAUCAAAAACAUAGCCAGUAGAUCCUGAAUUACUGGUGUGACCUGCCCAGUGAGAUUUUAACGGCCGCAGUACCUUGACUGUGCAAAGGUAGCAUAAUCAUUUGGCUUUUAAUUGAAGUCUCGUAUGAAAGGAAAAACGUAUAAAGACUGUCUCCAGAAAUAAACCUGUUGAAAUUGUUCUAUAAGGUGAAAAUACCUUAAAUAAUAAAAAUAGACGAGAAGACCCUUAGAAUUUUAAUAAAACCAAAAACCAUGUAUAGAGUAAUUUUUGUUGGGGCAACAUUUUUUCAUAAAAUAAAAAAUACCCGUUAAAUAUAUAACGAUUGAGUAUAAUAAAGUAAAAAUUACCUAAGGGAUAACAGCAUAAUUUUAAGUAAAGAUUGUGACCUCGAUGUUGGACUAGGAUUUAUUAAGGCUAAUCGUUUUAAUACAAUAGGUUCUGUUCGAACUUUAUUUCCUA